rnacentral:rRNA from 1 species
UGGGGGGAGUAUUGCACAAUGGGGGGGAACCCGUGAUGCAGCGACGCCGCGUGGGUGAAGAAGCGCCUCGGCGCGUAAAGCCCUGUCAGCAGGGAAGAAAAUGACGGUACCUGAGAAGAAGCCCCGGCUAACUACGUGCC